CUGCGAGGAGCGGCGCCUCCUUGGUACGAUCGCGACAUUGAUUCAGCCGGAUCGGCGGGGGUUAGUAGGCUCACAGGCUGGCAUUUCCUCGGAUGCAUCGAUGUUCUAAUCAUGAUGGCAUGACCAUAGAUCGUAUGAGUCUAGAAGACUUUGGGGCGGCUCAUCUGCGUGGAUGGUUGUGGCUGGGCACACAAUCCAUUAAUAAGCCUUCAAAUUUUCACACAGAAGGUUGUCCAGAUGAGCACUGGCCACUGGGAAAUGGCAACUUGGUUGAACUGAAUCAGCUCUAAUCUCCCAAAUUUGUGCAUUUAUCUUAAAAAACACUGCAGUGCUACCUCCCCGUAGUAAUAAAUAAGUAUAUUAUGAAGCUCAUAUAUGAUUAUUACUAUUAUUUUUGCACGUUCAAUCAAUUCCACUGAUAAAUCAUUUAUGCAUUUUUAGAACAAGCAUCAAGCAUCAUGUGGCAUUAUAGUCAUUGAUGAAGAUUGACAAUGCACUCAAAUACAAGACUUAUGAUGGUGUUUGGUGACUGAUAAAGAUGAUUGGAAAGGUGCUUUCCAGGCAUAAGGGUGACAGUUUGUACAUCUAGGGAACCAGGGCAAUUUGGACAUGUGAUAUUUCCUCGAGGUUAUCUGAUCAUAUAAUCUGUCACAAGUAGUAAGGGUGGGUAGAUGAGCAAAUUUUCCCAGAUGGCAAGAUAUCUAUACAAAUUAUGGAACUUGAAUCUGAACAUUGGAGAAGUGGACAGUGGACGAGACUACCACUGUUAUAUAUAAUUAUAGUGAUAUUCAAAGCUAUUUUUUUGUCUUAAUGUAA